GGCUUAGGCUUGUUCUUGGAGCCAGGAGGUCUGCCUCUAGGCUUUCUCUGAACCUCCAGCAUCGAUCGAAUGCAUUGGUGAUUGUCGGGCGAGGGCUUGUUAGGGGUUCGUCGUUUGGAGGAGGAUGAUGGAGGUGUGGAGAGUGCUGUGGGCACGCUCCGGGGACUGUGGUCGGAGGAAGAGUCAUCGGAGGUGUGAGAAAGCUCUCUUGAUAGAGAGAUAGUAGUGCCAUAGUCAGCCAUUUUUUUUUU
rnacentral:misc_RNA from 1 species